rnacentral:rRNA from 1 species
AGUGAACGCUGGCGGUAGGCCUAACACAUGCAAGUCGAACGGCAGCACAGUAAGAGCUUGCUCUUACGGGUGGCGAGUGGCGGACGGGUGAGGAAUACAUCGGAAUCUACUUUUUCGUGGGGGAUAACGUAGGGAAACUUACGCUAAUACCGCAUACGACCUACGGGUGAAAGCAGGGGAUCUUCGGACCUUGCGCGAUUGAAUGAGCCGAUGUCGGAUUAGCUAGUUGGCGGGGUAAAGGCCCACCAAGGCGACGAUCCGUAGCUGGUCUGAGAGGAUGAUCAGCCACACUGGAACUGAGACACGGUCCAGACUCCUACGGGAGGCAGCAGUGGGGAAUAUUGGACAAUGGGCGCAAGCCUGAUCCAGCCAUACCGCGUGGGUGAAGAGGGCCUUCGGGUUGUAAAGCCCUUUCGUUGGGAAAGAAAAGCAGCAGGUUAAUACCCCGCUGUUCUGACGGUACCCAAAGAAUAAGCACCGGCUAACUUCGUG